GUCAAGCUGCAAAUUGGUGGGGAGGGCAAAGUAUAGCAUUGUACAGACAGAGGACAUUACAACCUCACUGCCGUUGCCCUUGAAUCAGAAAAAAUGGAGAGCAGUGGCAUAUGGUUGCAAGAGUAGAAGGCACAGGCCAAGAGGGAGUUGAUACAAGCAGUCUGGGAUUUCAUCAGAGUCCGCAAUUAGCAAACCAGAAGGUUGUCUUCAAGCUGUGAGAAAAGAGAACUUCAAGCUGACGCUCCUGAACUUUUCAACACUUGCUAAAAACAAAGAAAGAAGAAAGCACAGCAAAACCUUCAAAAUUGUAGACCAACAAAAGUCAAAUCAAGUGGGGAGCCAGCUAAGGAAAACACGGGUACUAACUUUUCGGUUAAAGCAAGCUAUGAUUGCAUGAGAAUUAUCUAAUCCAUGUGUAAACCAAAGCAAAUCGAUGUAUGCUGCCAUAUAACCGAUGUCACAGUGCAACUCUGACAGAGAGAGAGAGAGAGAGAGAGAAAUAUACAAAGGCAAAAGAGGAAUCUCAUGAUUGAAGUUUUUAAUAGCUUCAUUGAAACACAUGAUAAAAUCACUUUCUCUCAGCAGGAGAGAGGCAGAUAAAAAUGGACUCUAUUUGAAGUGCAAACAACAAAGAGACACAGGGACUUGUAAAACAUACAUCACCCUCCUCAUAAAGAUCCCCCUUUCUCUCAGUUCCAAGCAUUUGCAACAGUCUCUCCCUGUGAAAUCUUAAUUAAACCAAUAUAUUUCCCAUCUAAGUCAUUUGAAGAUGAGUGUAGUUUGAUAAAAAGCUUAAUUAGCUCUAUUCUUUAAAAAAAUAAAAGGUACCAUUUUGAUCUUUUCCUUGAAAUUCAUGCCUAUCCUUACAUUAAAAAUAUCCCUCAGUCUGGACUGUGGUAGCUAGCAGAAAGGAGAAGCACGCUCAUAAAUGGGGGUGUGGGGAGGGGGCUUAGAUGGAAAACAAACAUUUAUUAUGAAUUUUAAUAUUUUUAUCUUUUGUUCUUAUAGUGUAUUAUAGAUUGUCUCCCUUCUUGAGGCUGUGUGUUUGUCGGGGCUUGAAAUCAAAUUAAUACAUGAUGAAGGUGGACCCUUCUCUGGUGACUCAGCUGGGAAUUGCACAGAAAUCUACCCAGGCUGAUGGUAAAAAAUAAAAGGGAGGGAGGGGAACAGGAACAUCUCAUAAAGCUGUGAAAUGACAGUUCACAGGCAUAAUUUAAAUCAUUUGGAGGCUGCAUUCCCUUUUUAUGCUAUUACUGCAUUGACUAAAAUACACCUCCUAUUGAGUAUACCAGCUGUGAAAGCUAACAGAUCCAUGCCGAUAGGUCUAGAAACACUGUUGUUACAGUUUAGUGGAGCAAUUCACAGACAAAUGGAAGCUCUUGUUCUAAUUUCUUCACCUCUCUGCUCUUGUUUAGAGCCCUUUGAAAAUUCUGUAGACAGAAGGGUUGCAAUGGAUUGACACAAAACAUUUCCUUCCCUUCUUCCUAGUUGCAGAUGUUGUCCUUCAGCUAUAAUACAACUUUCACUGGAUCUGACAUUUGCAUUUGGAUCUUAUAAUAGGUGUGAUCAAAAUGCUAGCUACAGUAGCACCAUAAGUCAACAGGUGUGGUUUAGUAGUUGAAGGUGUUAGGCUACAUUUAAACAAGCUUACUGGAAAAUAACAUUAUCCAUUUCUUCUUUUACUUGCUAGUGCUUUCCAUGUUCUUGGUAGACUUUUCAUUGUGAAACACCUGAAUAUGGUGUUUUCAACAUAAAAAUGUCAAAGCACUUAAUUAUUAUGGCAUAUAUUAUUGAGUAAAACUAAGCCACUUUCCUUCUAGUUUGGAGUCAAGCUGUGGUCUUGUCAAAAGGAGAGGCUAGGCAUACUCUCUGUAUUUUCUCCUUAGGUCUGUAAAUGGUUGCUGUACUUUUGGUUAAAGAACAGUUGAAUGGAACCAAAAGGCUAUUGCAGAAAGCAGUCUCCACUGUCUUCCUGUUCAUUAAUUUUGCUGCCAUGGAAUCCCAGUGUUGUCUGUCUUACACAGAUAAGAAAGAGAGAAUGAAAUUAUUUCUGUCUCUGCUUCUUUCUCCAGAAUUUUGAAUGAUAUCAUAGAAUUAUUUGGAAAAGAAUCAAGUUGAAAAGACCUUUAAGAUCAUCAAAUCCAACCAUUAACCUAACACUGCCAAGUCCACCGCUAAACCAUGUCUCUAAGCACCACAUCUAUGCAUCUUUUAAAUACCUUCAGGGGUGGUGAUUCAGCCACCUCCCUGGGCAGCCUGUUCCUAUGCUUGACAAUUCUUUCAGUGAAGAAAUUUUCCUAACAUCCAAUCUAAACCUCCCCUUGUGCAACUUCAGGCCAUUGCCGCUUGUCCUAUCACUUGUUACUUGGGAGAAGAAACUGAGUACAACCUCCUUUCAGGGAGCUGUACAGUGCAAUAAGGUCUCCUCCAAGCCUUCUUUUCUCCAGGCUUAACAACCCCAGUUCCCUCAGCCACUCCUCAUAUGACUUGUUGUCUAGAUCUUUCACCAGCUUUGUUUCCCUCCUUUAGACACUCUCCAGCACAUCGAUGUCCCUCUUGAAGUGCGGGGCCCAAAACAGAACACAGUAUUUGAGGUGCAGGCUCACCAGUGCAGAGUACAGGGGGACAAUCACUACCCUGAUCCUUCUGGCCACACUGUUUCUCAUACAAGCCAGGAUGUUUCUGGCCUUCCUGGCCACAUGGGCACACUGCUGGCUCAUAUUUGGUUGGCUGUUGACCAGCACCCCAGGUCCUUUUCUGCCAGGCAACUUUCCAGACACUCUUCACCAAGCCUGUAGCAUCGUGUGGGGUUAUUAUGACCCAAGUGCAGGACCUAGCACUUGGCCUUGUGGAAGGUCAUACAAUUCAGCUUCAGCCCAUUGAUCCAGCCUGUCCAGAUCCCCCUGUAGAACCUUCCUACCCUCAAGCAGAUCAACAGUCUAGGAGAAUGCUGUGGGAAAUGGUGCCAAAAGCUUUGCUAAAGCCUAGGUAGACCACAUCCACAGCCUUUCCCUCAUUCACAAAGUGCGUCACCUUGUCAUAGAUGGAGAUCAGGUUAGUCAAGCACGACCUGCCUUUCAUAAACUCAUGCUAGCUGGGCCUGAUCACCUGGUUGUCCUGUACAUGCCAUGUGAUGGCACUCAAGACAAUGUGCUCUAUAACCUUCCCUGACAGCAAGGUCACACUGACAGGCCUGUAGUUCCCUGCAUCCUCCUUCCAGCCCUUCUUGUGGAUGGGAAUCACAUUUUCUAACUUCCAGUCGACCGGGACCUCCCUGGUUAGCCAGGACUGCUGAUAAAUGAUAGAAAGCAGCUUGGUGAGCGCUUCCACCAGCUCCCUCAGUACCCUCGGGUACAUCCCAUCCAGCCCUGUAGACGUGUGUGUGCCUAAGUGGUGUAGCAGGUUGCUGACCAUUUCCCCUUGGAUUAUGGGGGCUUCACUAUGCUCCCCAGCCUUGCCUUCCAGCCCAGGGGGCUGAGUACCCAGAGAACAACUGGUCUUACUUUCAAAGACUGAGGCAAAGAAGGCAUGACAUACCUCAGCUUUUUCCUCACCCUUUGUCACCGUUUGCUCCCGCAUCCAAUAAAGGCUGGAGAUUCUCCUUAGCUCUCCUUUUGUUGCUAACAUAUUUAGAGAAACUUUUUAAAAUGUCUUUUACAGUAGUAGCCAGAUUAAAUUCUAGCUGGGCUUUGGCCCUUCUGAUUUUCUCCCUGCAUAACCUCAUGACACUUCUGUAGUCCUGAGUUGCCUGCCCCUUUUCCAUUUUCUCCUGUGUUCCAGCCAAAGCUCUCUGUUCAGCCAGGCUGGUGGUCUUCCCUACUGGCUCAUCUUUCAGCCCAUAGGGACAGCCUGCUACUGCACCUUUAAGAUUUUCUGCUUGAAAAAUGUCCAGCCUUCCUGGACUCCUUUGCCCUUCAGGACUGCUUCCCAAGAGACUCUGUCAACCAGACUCCUGAACUGGCCAAAGUCUGCCCUCCAAAAUUCCAAGGCAGCAGUUCUGCUGACCCCUCUCCUUACUGCUCCAAGGAUCGAAAACUCUUAUCACUUUGUGAUCACAGAAUGUUUAGGGCUGUAAUGGACCUCUGGAGAUCAUCUAGUUAAAACAUCUGCUAAACAGGUUCACGUAGAGCAGUUGCACAGGAUUGUGUCGAGGCAGGUUUUGUGUAUCUCCAGAGAAGGAGACUCCACAACCCCUCUGGGCUGCCUUUUCUAGGUGCUUUGUCACCCUCAAAGUAAAGAAAUUCUUUCUCAUGUUCAGAUGCAACUUCCUGUGUUUCAGUUGUAGCCUGUUGCUCCUUGUCCUGUCACUGGACACUACUGAAAAGAACCUGGUCCCAUCCUCUUGACACUCACCCUUAAGGUAUUUGUAGAAAUUGGUAAGAUCCCCUCUCAGUCUUCUCCAGGAUAAGCAGGCCCAGCUCUCUCAGCCUUUCCUCAUAAGGGAGAUGCUGCAGUCUCCUCAUCAUCUUUGUAGCUCUCCACCAGACCCUCUCCAGUCUGGAGAGUCCCUGUCUCUCUUGAACUAGGAAGCCCAGAGCUGGACAUGGCACUCCAGAUGUGGCCUCACCAGGGCAGAGUAGAGGGGGAGGAUCACCUCCCUUGACCUGCCGGCCACACUUCUCCUCAUGUACCCCAGGAUCCCACUGGUAUUCUUGGCCACAUGGGCACACUGCUGGCUCAUGGGCAACUUGCUGUCCACCAGGACUGCUAGGUCUUCCUCCAUGGAGCUGCCUUCCAGCUGGUCAACCCCCAGCCUGUGCUGGUGCAUGGGAUUAUUCCUCUCAAGGAAUUACACUUGCCUUUGUUGAACUUCAUUAAGUUCCUGUCUGCCCAAUUCUCCAGCCUGUCCAGGUCUCACUGAAUGGCAGUGCAGCCUUCUUGUGUAUUGACCAGUUCUCCCAGUUUUGUAUCAUAAUCAGACUUGCUGAGGGUACACUAUGUCCCUUCAUCCAGGUCAUUCAUGAUUAAGUUGAACAAGACUGGAUCCAGUACUGACCUCUGGAGAACACCUCUAGCUACAGGCCUCCAUCUAGGUUCUGUGCUAUUGAAGACAAUUCUGUUGGCUCUGCCAUUCAGCCAGUUCUAAAUCCACUUCACUGUCCACUCAUCUAACCCAUGCUUUCUGGGCUUAUGUAUGAAGAUGUUAAUGGGAGACAGUGUCAAAAGCCUUGCGGAGGUCAAGGCAGAUAACAUCCACUGCUCUCCCCUGUCUACCAGCCAGUCACCAUAGAAGGUGGUUAGGUUGGUUAGCCACAAUCUCCCCUUGGUGGAUCCAUGUUGACUACUCUUGCUAACCUUCUUUUCCUCCACAUGCUUAGAGAUGAUCACUCUGCCCAAGACGGCCUCCAGCCAUCACAUCACCCACAAGUCCUUCUCUGUUCGCAAACAACAGGUCCAGCGGGGCGCCUUCCCUAACAGGCUCCCUCACCAGCUGUGUCAGGCAGUUAUCUUCCACACACUCCAGGAACCUCCAAGACUGUUUCCUCUCUACUGUAUUGUAUUUCCAGCAGAUAUCUGGUAAGUUGAAGUCCCCCAUGAGAACAAGGGCUAGCAAAUGUGAGACUUCUCCCAGCUGAUUAUAGAAAAUUUUGUCUGCCUCUUCAUCCCGGUUGGGUGGUCUAUAACAGACUCCCACCAUGACAUCUGCGUUGUUGGCCUUCCCCCCGAUCCUUACAACACUCAACCCUUUUGUCACCAACAUUAAGCUCUAGACAAUCAAAACACUCGCUAACAUAUAGGGCUUCUCCUUCCUUGCCCAUCCCUUCUGAAGAGUUUAUAGCCAUCCACUGCAGCACUCCAGUUGUGCAACUCAUCCCACCUUGUUUCCAUGAUGAUAUAUCAUAGUUUUCUUGGUGCGCAACGGCUUCCAGUUCCUCGUGCUUGUUGCCCCUGCUGGAUGUAUUGGUGUAGAUGCACCUUGGUUGGGCUAUUGAUCCUGCCACCUUUCGGGGGGGUGAAGCCCUAAUUUCUAAUUCAUGUUAGAACUGUUACAUUUGCAGAAGUGUGUUGAGUUUUCUAAUUUGGACAAUAGAAUAAGCACCACGAGAAAUGUCUGGUGUCACUUACUGACUCUAGAUGUAAAAUGAAUAUUUAUCUAUGGCACUCAGGAGGCACAUGAAGAACUUUAUGAAAAAUUAUUCUGAUGCUAAAGUAAAAGUCAGAAAAGCAACGUCUAACCAUUCUUGGGGUCCCCCAAGCUCACUAAUUUGAGACAUCAGUGAACUAACAUACAGUGCAGUUUCUCUUUCUGAGAUUAUGCACAUGGUAUGAUGGAUGAAUGACUGCAGAAAGAACUGGAGGCAUGUGUGUAAGUGCACACAGUUGGAUUAUUUUAUAAAUAAUGGAUCAGAGAAAGUCAGACACCAAUGUCAACAGGGCUUCUUCAAUACUGAGACAGUGAAGAAUUUUCAUUGUGUGGGUAACACUGUAAGGAAUCAAAGAUGACUUGAGAAGGCCUGUCAAUUAAAAUUAGGAAGUUUGGGGGGGAUUAUUUAAACUAAUUUCUCAAGGAAAGAUAGCAAGUAAUCACAGCUCCACAAAGACAUCAGAAAAAGAGUAAGGAAAUGCAAGUUUUCUGUGUUAUUUUCAGAAAAAAAUACUUAAAAUUACCAACACCUUUACAAGUAAGAACUUAGGAAAAAUUACAUCACUGCUGACUUAGGCUUACAUAUCAGUGGAAACAUUUUUUAAUAUGAAGAGAGAUGAGAUGAAACGCUGAAAAUUGAAAAGAAAUUGCCAUCCAUUUGGUAUUUCCAAAAAUUAGUGGCUUGAAAAUAAGCAAGACAAACUAAUAUUUCCUGGUUCUAAAAUACAUAUUGAAAUAGACUGGGGCUGAUACUGCUCUUUCAUAGCUGUAUUUUCCUACGUUAAUGAAGGAAUUGCACCAGAGAAGACAGACAGAUUCUGUGUAUACAAGUUUCUAGUUACACGAGUACUACUAAGACAAUAGGGUAAUUAACAUGGCUGCUCAAAGCAAUGAUAGUCCAGUCAACCUAAGUUACUAAGCAGCACCACAGGUGCAUGUCAGUUAGGAAGCAAGUACUGAAGCACUUUCAGCUAGUGGGUUUGCUCAUUCUGCAGUUCUAACAGAUGCUGCUGGUAGAAACAAGUUGGUUUUGAAGCAAAUGUGAUUUUGCCAGGAAAUUGUACUAAAAUGCCAUAAUGCACAUAAAAGCACUACAAUAGUGUACAGGGUCCGGCAAAAGGCCCAUCUGGCCCAGUGCCCUCUGUCUGGGAGUGCCAGUAAGAUCUAUUUACAGGAAACGGGCAGGAAGAAAAGAAACAAAAUGAGCUUUCUCUUGACAUUCCUUCCAGAAAUUGUUCCCUGCAACAAUCCAGGGACUUGUUGAGCCAGAGAAUGUAUUUGAACAAUUAUAUUUGAGAGCCACUUAUUUUCUGUAAAUGUCUCUAUUUACGUUUUUGCCCUUCACUACACUCUGUGGCAAUAAAUGCUACAAUUCACUAAAUGCACAGUAUGGAAGAGUAACUCUUUCUUUUUUUAAAAAAACUACUACCCCAUAAUAUUGGUAACAUAAGUUUGUUCCUCCUGGAGAAGUUAGGUUGCACUGACUUGAUGGACUUCAAGUCAGUAGUUCAAUGAAGUUUAAAGACAAGACUUAAUGUUUACCACUCAAACAUCUUCACCAUUCACAUUCAGUAACUUUUACUAUUUCAUAAUCAAUCAAAUUUGUUGAUAAAAUUUGUAGUUUAGGAAACCUAUAACAGCAUAUAAAAGCUGGUAUCUUUAUUUUCAAUAUCUUCUCUAGACAUUGUUUCUAGUUCUGAACCUGCAAGAGGUUCUUGAUAAUUACUGUCUAACAUCUUUAUAGUGAAAAGAAGUGGAAAUGCCAAUCAAUUCACAGUAGAAAGGCAUCCACGCUACAAAGACAAUUAUCCAGUUCAUAUAAAUUAUUCCACCUGCUGACAAUCCCUGCAGAGACUCUGAAUGUAAGAGGGGCUAUGGAAAGUGAACUUCCUAUUGUUCAUCCUAUUGUAGAGUGUUUCUUCUUGCACAUUACUGACACACUGAUGGAAGAACAAGAGUAAUGUUUUAUUCUUGCCCAUAUGGUAACUGGUAUCUACUAGAUAGAAGAACUGGGUAUUUUAGAUAUUGUAAUCUGGCAUGUUAUAUGAGAAUUCAGAUUUUGAAAACUACUUUUUUUUAAAGAAAAUAAAGAAUGAAGCACAAGCAGAGCACCAGAGUCUUCAUUCAAAAAGAAAUCAAGGUAGUUGAUGCCUAUAUUUUCUAUAUGUUAAACUUUUUAAAAAUUGAAAUGAAAUAUCCUGGAAAAAUUAUCAGAAAGUCAAAGUCAGAGAUACAAUCUUCUUUUCUCUCCCCCUUCUUCACUGAAAAUGCAGCACUCUCAAUUAGAAGUAGGGUUAUUUACAUAGAACACAGAAUUGCUCAUCAAGUCAGUUUGCAUUCUGGGGAACAAAUAGAUGGAUUACAGUGUUAUGUAUAAAUUUAUUCCUGCUGUAGUGAUCCAUGAAAUUGCAGUUAAUUUUGCUGAAAUGGACCAUUAUAUUUUUAAGUAGAAGUGAAAGACAAUGAGAAAGAAGGGGUAAACUGCUAGGAACUGAAAUUCAAAUACAAGAUUAAAUUAUUAGUAGGCACAUAGCACUGCUGGGAACAGCGUGAGCUGCUAGAUGAAGCCACUGACCUGUUGGCAUUCAGACGCAACCAAGUAUCCACCUUGCCACAGUAAAUUAGAUGAAUUAUUGGUAGUGAUGGGCCUGUCACGUUGCACAUUUGUGUCCCCAAGUGAUGUAUGGGAAAGUGAAUUCCUGCUGAUACAAGCUCCAUGCAGCUCCUACUGGGUCUGAGGUGCCAACAGCAUGCAUCUGUUCUGUGCAAUGAAAUAAUUGCAUUGUGCCACUUCUAUAGUACAGCUGUGCAUAAUGAUUUUGCUUGUUGAUGAUGAGAUAAAUUCAAGACUAUUUAAUGACUGUAUAAAAAUCUGGGGGCUAUGAGAUUAAGCUAAGGAAAACUCUUAACUAUACCAUAAGAAUUUACAUUUCAAUGCCCUUUUUUCCUCUCUCAGCAAAAGGUGGCAUGUGCUUCCACCUCAUCACUGCUUAACUUGUAAGUAGUAUGUAGUUUCAUCUGGUUUCAGAAUGAGUCAGAAAAAACAACUAACAUCUGGUUGCUCAGCUCUAAGAGGUGUGUCACUGUCUUAACUAGCUAUUGCCCUGUACCUGGGUUUUGAUAAGUGACAAUAAAUUCAGUCUUAUUCCAUCUUAUUUGUAAAAUAAAAUAUCUUAACUUCAAAAGCCCUCUGAAAAGCAGCUUGAAAGCCCUGUACUCAUUAAUGAUGAGAAGUAAAUACCAGCUGCAACUCUAAUUAAUUUGUCCAUCAGGUCAGUCUAUUUAGGACACGCCAGACCAGAAUUCAUCAGUGUGACACUACAGGGAGAGCAAGAGCAUUAUCAUGCCCCAUCCCUGGCAAUGUUCAAGGCCAGGCUGGAUGUGGCUUUGAGCAACCUGGUGUAGUGGAAGGUGUCUUUGCCCAUGACAGGGGGAUUAGGACUAGAUGAUCUUCAAGGUCCCUUCCAACCCAAACCAUUCUAUAAUCUGAAUCUAUAAUCAGAUUUAGUGCUUGAAAAACUUACCAUACAACAGCAGAAGGGAAUGAAAGAGAAAAACUAAUACACAGAGACGGUGAUCUUGGUACUGAAUUUUCAGGUUUCUAAUUCUAAGGAGGAAACCAGAGGUCUUUCAAUGUCUGCAACCUAUCUCUUGAGGCAUUCUGUAGCAUACGUUAAUAUUUCUGCUCAGGAUGCCAAUCUGCCUUAUCUUCCCUUUCCUAUGGUUUCUGACAUCAUCAGAAGAAGUAAUAUGACAAACAGGCAUCAAGAUAACUAAAACAUAACUAGAUGUUGUAUCUCCUAUAUUAUAUUGUACCCUAAGAGGGCUAAUAUCAAAGGCUGUUCAUCAACAUUGUGUUUCUCUCAGCUCCUACCAGAAUUUCCUGAUUCAGACAAACUUCAACCUAAACAGCUCAAGCUUAGAUUUUAA